rnacentral:rRNA from 1 species
CGCGUAGGCGGUUUUUUAAGUCAGAUGUGUAAUCCCCGAGCUUAACUUGGGAACUGCAUCUGAGACUGGAAGGCUAGAGUACUGGAGAGGGUGGUGGAAUUCCUCGUGUAGCGGUGAAAUGCGUAGAGAUGAGGAGGAACACCAGUGGCGAAGGCGGCCACCUGGACAGUAACUGACGCUGAGGCGCGAAAGUGUGGGUAGCAAACAGGAUUAGAUACCCUGGUAGUCCACGCUGUAAACGAUGAACACUUGGUGUGGAGGGAGUUGACCCCUUCCGUGCCGGAGCUAACGCGUUAAGUGUUCCGCCUGGGGAUACGGUCGCAAGGCUGAA